UAGGUUGUGUGGGAGAAAUCUUCUCGAUCCCCAAAGCGUAAGUGCAUGGUACUGAGAAGCAAAGCUGCACACGAAGUAAUUUUUUCUGUCUUAUCCUUGAUUAAUUGACAGCCAACUGUAUGCCUCUUUCCUGAAGGUGACUUUACAAUCUCCAGACACAGACAUUUCUCUCAGAAGUGGAGUGAAGGAAGGAGACCCACAAGCUAAAGGCAAUGAAAAGAGGAAAAGUUGACACUUUGAGAAGUUGUGCCGAACUUGUCGAGAAUGCCAAUUGACAAAGCAGUUUUAAAGAAAACUGAAGAAGUGGACAAAGACGGAGAACAGACAACCAGACGUGAUUCUGCCCUUCCAGAAGCCAAGAGGCUUAUAUCAUCCGGUAUGAUCGAUGCCAGUUACGGGGAGGAGUGACUGUAGAGAAGUCAAUGGAAUUUCAACAUACAAAUCACAGAAGAAACAAGGGUAUAUUUAGCCAGUCUAAAAACUCUUCAAUAAACUGCAUUGCUUUUCAUUUUCACUGUGUAAUUAUAAAACCAGUGGAUGGUCAGCAGGCUACUGUAACAAUAUAGCAUGUACUCCUAGGAACGUGUGUGUGACAGGGAUAUUAUAUUUGAAAGGGCAGGGCAGCUGGGAGGGUGAACUGCCCAUAACUCUCAAUUGUCCAGGUAAUGAAGCAUUGGGAAAGCAAAGGCAAAUGAAAUACUUUGAUAAUCAAAAACGAUUCUUCUUUUAGUGAUCACAUUAGUUGACUGAUGAUGAUAAAUGUGAAAUUGCCAGAGUUGUAUUUUACCAUUUCUUUUUUUCUUUUUUUAUUAUUAUUAUUUU